GACGAACGCUGGCGGCGUGCUUAACACAUGCAAGUCGAACGGAAAGGCCCUGCUUUUGUGGGGUGCUCGAGUGGCGAACGGGUGAGUAACACGUGAGUAACAUGCCCUUGACUUUGGGAUAACUUCAGGAAACUGGGGCUAAUACCGGAUAGGAGCUCCUGCUGCAUGGUGGGGGUUGGAAAGUUUCGGCGGUUGGGGAUGGACUAGCGGCUUAUCAGCUUCUUGGUGGGGUAGUGGCUUACCAAGGCUUUGACGGGUAGCCGGCCUGAGAGGGGGACCAGCCACAUUGGGACUAAGAUACGGCCCAGACUCCUACGGUAGGCAGCAGUGGGGAAUAUUGCACAAUGGGCGGAAGCCUGAUGCAGCAACGCCGCGUGCGGGAUGACGGCCUUCGGGUUGUAAACCGCUUUCGCCUGUGACGAAGCGUGAGUGACGGUAAUGGGUAAAGAAGCACCGGCUAACUACGUG
rnacentral:rRNA from 1 species